AGAAGGGACGGUUCAGAUUAAGGGAUGAGAAUAGAUGGUUUGGAUGAUUUAGCAGGUUGAGUAUAAAUAGGAUGAAGAGAAAAAAAAAAGAGGGAGAAGAGAGGAGAAGAGGCAGUCGGUCGAGGAAUUGAGAGAGAGCUGCAGAAGGAGGAGACGAUUAAGGUGAUUGAGUGAGUUGUGGCUGUGUUGAGGAUGAUGGAGGCAGAAAGUAUUGUAAAUUCGAAUUUCAAACACUGAAAUGACAAUUUGUAGUUAAAUUCUUACUUGAAAAUGAAUACUUGUGUAUUGAACCCUAGACGAGAGAGUGGAGAUUCAACCGAGAGGAUAGGCAGCCGUAGAAGGAGGAAUGGCUCGUCUAGGAAAGUCGAUCAGGAAGUGAAUCGAGAGGGGGAAGUUUGGUAGGAAAAAGUGUGAGGGAAUCGUGUAGGAGGGAUGAUCGGGAGUACAAAGAAAAAAGCUGUAUAAAUCUAUAUCGGUGUAUAUAUAUAUAUAUAUCAUAAUGUCACCAGAGGGAGAGGGAAUCCGAAUAAUGUAAGAAUUGGGCAAGGAAAUGUAAAAAUGUGUAGGUGAAUACAGGAUAAUCACCAAAGAGAGAGGAAACUUAGAGAUCUCAAAAGUUAGGUUGGGAGUAGAGUAGUGAGUGACUGUAGGAGUGGUCUGAGAGGGACAAUUGGGGAAGAUGAGAGAGAGAGAUACCAGUGAGAGGGAGUGGUCUGAGAGGGACAAUUGGGUGAGAUGAGAGAGAGAGAGAGAUAUACAGGUGAGAAAAAAAUAGAAACAGUGAGUGAGGGCGUGGUGAAAACAUACAUUAGUGGUGUGUGUAUGUGUACGUUAUAGGAUAAGAGUAAUGAGUAUGUGUAUGAACUAUGUUGAUUGCACAUGUGUGCGGACAGUAAAAUGAGCUAGUUUCUGUGUUUGUUAGUUAUGUAUGCUUGUAUGAACUAUUCCGUGUGUCUGUUGAAUAUACAUGCAUGUANN
rnacentral:lncRNA from 1 species